rnacentral:rRNA from 1 species
UACGGAGGGUGCAAGCGUUAUCCGGAUUUACUGGGUGUAAAGGGAGCGUAGGUGGCAUGAUAAGUCAGAUGUGAAAGCCCAGGGCUCAACCCUGGGACUGCAUUUGAAACUAUCAAGCUAGAGUGCAGGAGAGGUAAGUGGAAUUCCUAGUGUAGCGGUGAAAUGCGUAGAUAUUAGGAGGAACACCAGUGGCGAAGGCGGCUUACUGGACUGUAACUGACACUGAGGCUCGAAAGCGUGGGGAGCAAACAGG